rnacentral:rRNA from 1 species
AUUGAACGCUGGCAGCAUGCCUUACACAUGCAAGUCGAACGGCAGCACGGGAGCAAUCCUGGUGGCGAGUGGCGAACGGGUGAGUAAUAUAUCGGAACGUGCCCAGUCGUGGGGGAUAACGCAGCGAAAGCUGUGCUAAUACCGCAUACGAUCUAAGGAUGAAAGCGGGGGAUCGCAAGACCUCGCGCGAUUGGAGCGGCCGAUAACAGAUUAGCUAGUUGGUGGGGUAAAGGCCCACCAAGGCGACGAUCUGUAGCUGGUCUGAGAGGACGACCAGCCACACUGGAACUGAGACACGGUCCAGACUCAUAAGGGAGGCAGCAGUGGGGAAUUUUGGACAAUGGGCGCAAGCCUGAUCCAGCAAUGCCGCGUGCAGGAUGAAGGCCUUCGGGUUGUAAACUGCUUUUGUACGGAACGAAACGGCCCUUUCUAAUACAGGGGGCUAAUGACGGUACCGUAAGAAUAAGCACCGGCUAACUACGUGCCAGCCGCCGCCGUAAAAC